rnacentral:rRNA from 1 species
UACGAAGGGGCUAGCGUUGCUCGGAAUCACUGGGCGUAAAGGUGCGUAGGCGGUUUUAAGUCAGGGUGAAAUCCUGGAGCUCAACUCCAGAACUGCCUUUGAUACUGAAGAUCUUGAGUCCGGGAGAGGUGAGUGGAACUGCGAGUGUAGAGGUGAAAUUCGUAGAUAUUCGCAAGAACACCAGUGGCGAAGGCGGCUCACUGGCCCGGUACUGACGCUG